rnacentral:rRNA from 1 species
GAUGAACGCUAGCGGGAGGCCUAACACAUGCAAGCCGAGCGGUAUUUGUUCUUCGGUACAGAUAGAGCGGCGCACGGGUGCGGAACACGUGUGCAACCUGCCUUUAUCUGGGGGAUAGCCUUUCGAAAGGAAGAUUAAUACCCCAUACUAUAUUUAUUUGCAUCCCUUGAUAUUGAAAACUCCGGUGGAUAUAGAUGGGGACGCGCAAGAUUAGAUCGUUGGUGAGGUAACGGCUAACCAAGUCAAUGAUCUUUAGGGGGCCUGAGAGGGUGAUCCCCCAGAAUGGAACUGAGACACAGACUAGAAUGGGACGGGAGGCAGCAGUAAGGAAUAUUGGACAAGGGAGUAGGGCCUGACCAAGCCGUGCCGCGGGAAGGAGGACGGCGCUAGGGGUUGUAAACUUCUAUUGAAGAGGGAUAAACCUAGUAUCGAGAGAGGAGCUGAAGGUACUAUACGAAUAAGCACCGGCUAACUACGUG